UUUAAGGUCUAACCUGCCCAAUGAGGAUUUAAAUGGCCGCAGUAUUUUGACUGUGCAAAGGUAGCAUAAUUAUUAGUUUUUUAAUUAAAAGCUUGUAUGAAGGGUUGGACGAGAUAAAUUCGUCUUUAAUUAAUUUAAAAUAGAAAUUUACUUUUAAGUCAAAAGGCUUAAAUAUUUAUAAAAGACGAGAAGACCCUAUAGAUCUUUAUUUAAUUUAAAAUUUAUUGAUUUAAGGUUAUUUAUAAUUAAAUUUUUAAUUGAAUUUUAUUGGGGUAAUAUAAAGAUUAAAUAAAUUCUUAUUCUUAAUUACAUUGAUUUAUGAAUAUAUGAUCCAUUAUUAUUGAUUAUAAGAUUAAGUUACCUUAGGGAUAACAGCGUAAUUUUUUUGGAGAGCUCGUAUCAAUAAAAAAGUUUGCGACCUCGAUGUUGCAUUAAAAAUUAUCUUGGGUGAAGAAGUUCAAGAUUUUGGUCUGUUCGACCA
rnacentral:rRNA from 1 species